GGGAAGCUGACCGGAAGGUCCGGGUGCGGGACGUGUACAUUCCACGGCGCCCGGGAGCUGUCCCGGUGCCGACCCGCGAGCUUCCCGGCGUGCUCCGCGCCCUCCCGCAACUACUUCCGGGGCGGGUGCCGGGGGCUGUGGCCCGGCGAGGCAGCGUGGCGGCUAGCUGCUCGGGAGGUUGGCGACGGCAGCCCGAGGGCGGCGCAAGGCCUGAGGCCCAGCACAGGCUGGAGCGCAAUGGCGUGAUCUUCGCUCACCGCAACUUCCGCCUCCUCAAUUCAAGUGAUUCUCCUACCUCAGCCUCCCGAGUAGCUGGCCUUUAUGCCCAGCUAAUUUUUGUAUUUUUAGUAGAGUCAGGAUUUCACCAUGUUGGCCAGGCUGGUCUUGAACUCUUGAUCUCAAGUGAUCCGCCCACCUUGGCCUCCCAAAGUGCUGGGAUUACAGUGAUGUCCGAGCUCAGCGAUGAAGCCAGCGAGCCGGAACUCCUGAACCGCAGCUUGUCCAUGUGGCACGGGCUGGGGGCACAGGUCAGCCGGGAGGAGCUGGAUGUCCCCCUGGAUCUUCACACAGCUGCUUCCAUUGGCCAGUAUGAAGUGGUGAAGGAAUGUGUGCAGCGGAGAGAGUUAGAUUUGAAUAAGAAGAAUGGUGGUGGCUGGACCCCGCUGAUGUAUGCUUCCUACAUUGGCCACGACACCAUCGUGCACCUGCUGCUUGAGGCGGGGGUGAGUGUGAAUGUGCCGACCCCAGAAGGGCAGACUCCACUGAUGCUGGCCUCCAGCUGUGGCAACGAGAGCAUCGCCUACUUUCUCCUCCAGCAAGGUGCAGAGCUAGAAAUGAAAGACAUCCAGGGCUGGACGGCCCUCUUCCACUGUACCAGCGCCGGGCACCAGCACAUGGUCAGGUUCCUCUUGGACAGUGGAGCCAAUGCCAACGUGAGGGAGCCGAUAUAUGGAUUUACUCCUUUGAUGGAAGCAGCUGCGGCUGGCCAUGAGAUAAUCGUGCAGUAUUUUCUGAAUCACAUGGAGUCUCCCUCUGUCGCCCAGGCUGGAGUGCAGCGGCUCACUGCAAUCUCUGCCUCCCGUGUUCAAGCGAUUCUCCUGCCUCAGCCUCCCGAGUGGCUGGGAUUGCAGGGAGUCAAGUUGGACGUGAGAGACCACAGUGGCGCCACAGCCCGGAUGCUGGCCAAGCAGUACGGACACAUGAAGAUCGUGGCCUUGAUGGACACUCACUCGCCCUCUCUGCCCAAGAGCCUCUAUCGGAGCCCAGAAAAGUACGAAGAUCUGAGCUCUUCUGAUGAGUCCUGCCCUGCUCCUCAGAGACAGAGGCCGUGCCGGAAGAAGGGUGUCAGCAUCCACGAGGGACCGCGAGCCCUGGCCAGGAUCACAGGCAUUGGCCUGGGCAGCAGAGCCCCACGGCCUCGCUAUGAGCAGCCUCCUCCCCGCGGCUAUGUCACCUUCAACAGCAGUGGUGACAACCCCCUGGAAGAAGAGGGCCUCUGCUGCCGGGACGUCACCUCCCCCAUCAAUGAGCGGGACGUGGAGAGCAGCAGCAGCAGCAGCAGCCGGGGCCCCAAGGAGUACCCUGAUGGAGGCGGCUCAACCCGGGGCACGCCCAUGCGCAGCACCUCCGUGAGGCCUGCAGGCGGAUGCCCUGUCUUCCUGCCCUCAGAGGAACAUGCUUUCUGUGUCAACCUGGGGCCUGUCCAGAGCAGCAGCAGCAGCGAGGGCCUGGCCAGAGCCCAGGGGCUCAGCAGCGAAGCUUCUGUGGAGAGCAACGAGGACUCAGAUCACGCCUGUAAAAGCUCAGCUCGCAAACAAGCUAAAAGUUACAUGAAGACCAAGAAUCCUGACAGCCAGUGGCCUCCCCGCACUGCAACUGACAGGGAAGCCUUUCUCGCUGAGUCCAGCCCCCAGACUCAGAGGGCCCCCUACUCAGGACCCCAGGACCUGGCCACACUGCUGGAGCAGAUCGGGUGUCUGAAGUACCUGCAGGUGUUUGAGGAGCAGGACGUGGACCUCCGCAUCUUUCUGACCCUCACUGAGAGUGACCUGAAGGAAAUCGGCAUCACGCUGUUUGGGCCCAAGAGGAAGAUGACAUCCGCCAUUGCCCGCUGGCACAGCAGUGCCCACCCGCCCGGGGAUGCCCUGGAGCUGGCCUACGCCGACCGGCUGGAGGCUGAGAUGCAGGAGCUCGCCAUCCAGCUACACAAGCGCUGCGAGGAGGUAGAGGCCAUGCGGGGCCAGGUGUGCCAGGAGCAGGAGCUGCGCGCCGUGGUGGAGAGCUGCCUGCUGGAGCAGGACCGUGCCCGCGAGGACGUCCAGGCCCGGCUGCAGGAGACAUGGACCCUGGCCCGGGAUGCUGCCCUCGUCCUGGACCAGCUGCGAGCCUGUCAAGCUGAGCUGUCAGCCCGAGUGAGGCAGGACCAGUCCCCUGGUGCAGCCACUCUGGGCCCAGCCCUCCCCCCAGCUGACUCCAAGGGCUGGCAAGCGUCCCUGCAGGCCAUGAGCCUCCCCCAGCUUUCAGGAGCCCUGGAGGACCGUGUCCGUGAGUUGGGUGAGUCUCCGGGGACCAGACGACUGAGAGCUCCUUUUUGUUUCCGAGGGAGGCAAAGGGACCCCUUUCCAGGGAAAGCAGGUUUGAGUCUUUCCACCCCAAGGCUGACCUCGGGGCUGGGGCCGUGACCGGCGAGGGGCAGGUCACAUCCUGCAGCUCAGACCCCUGGGCAGCACCACCCAGCCCUACUGAGCCUGGGUGGGAGAGGCUCAAGGUCAUCAUUCUUCAGGGCAAGCACUGUGCUUAGUGACCCAGAGCCUGGAGAAGCUGCAGGUGCUGAAUGGGAAGAAGUGGCGGGAGCCGUAGCCCACAGGCCGAAUCUGACGUUGGGUGAUUGGUCCACCCUGAAGCUGUGUGCCAGGGAGUGAGGACAGUGAGCAGGCAGCUGCCACGUGCAGCCCAGGCCCAGUGGGGCCAGAGGAUCAGGCCCCGGGAGCAGCCGGCAGACAGAGGCAAGAUGGGGGCUGCGGCCCUGGCCAGGCAGCUCGGGCCAGCACUGAGGCGGGACGAGGGUCUCACCCUGAACCUCGUGGUGAGGCCCAGAGUUCAUGGGCUGCCCCGGACCAGACCAGGCAGGGCCCUGGGGGGAAAGUGUAUCCAUACACACUCACAGGUGCCAACUGAGGUGUGACCUUAGGAGUGAGGACUGGGGCACCUGGAAAAUGCCAUUUGUUGGAAAAUAAAUAAGAUUUAAGAACA